AUAUCAAUAAGCGGAGGAAAAGAAACCAACAGGGAUUACCUCAGUAACGGCGAGUGAAGCGGUAACAGCUCAAAUUUGAAAUCUGGCCCUUUCAGGGUCCGAGUUGUAAUUUGUAGAAGAUGUUUCGGGUGUGGCUCCAGUCUAAGUUCCUUGGAACAGGGCGUCAUAGAGGGUGAGAAUCCCGUAUGUGACUGGUUGCUUUCGCCCAUGUGAAACUCUUUCGACGAGUCGAGUUGUUUGGGAAUGCAGCUCUAAAUGGGUGGUAAAUUUCAUCUAAAGCUAAAUAUUGGCCAGAGACCGAUAGCGCACAAGUAGAGUGAUCGAAAGAUGAAAAGCACUUUGGAAAGAGAGUUAAACAGUAC
rnacentral:rRNA from 1 species